GACGUAGGAGGCGAGCGUUGUCCGGAUUCAUUGGGCGUAAAGAGCGCGCAGGCGGCUUGGUAAGUCGGAUGUGAAAUCCCGAGGCUCAACCUCGGGUCUGCAUCCGAUACUGCCCGGCUAGAGGUAGGUAGGGGAGAUCGGAAUUCCUGGUGUAGCGGUGAAAUGCGCAGAUAUCAGGAGGAACACCGGUGGCGAAGGCGGAUCUCUGGGACGGUACUGACACUGAGACGCGAAAGCGUGGGGAGCGAACAGG
rnacentral:rRNA from 1 species